CCUACGGGUGGCAGCAGUGAGGAAUAUUGGUCAAUGGCCGAGAGGCUGAACCAGCCAAGUCGCGUGAGGGAAGCAGGUCCAGCGGGUUGUAAACCUCUUUUGUCAGGGAGCAAAGCGGGGGACGUGUGCCCGGUUGAGUGUACCUGAAGAAAAAGCAUCGGCUAACUCCGUGCCAGCAGCCGCGGUAAUACGGAGGAUGCGAGCGUUAUCCGGAUUUAGUGGGUUUAAAGGGUGCGCAGGCGGUUUGUAAAGUCAGUGGUCAAAGCCCGGGGCUCAACCCCGGACCGCCGUUGAAACUGGCUGUCUCGAGUUGGCGAGAAGUAUGCGGAAUGCGCGGUGUAGCGGUGAAAUGCAUAGAUAUCGCGCAGAACUCCGAUUGCGAAGGCAGCAUGCCGGCGCCAAACUGACGCUGAGGCACGAAAGCGUGGGUAUCGAACAGGAUUAGAUACCCGAGUAGUC
rnacentral:rRNA from 1 species